rnacentral:misc_RNA from 1 species
UGGUUCUGGCAUCGAUGAAGAACGCAGCGAAAUGCGAAAAGUAAUGUGAAUUGCAGAAUUCAGUGAAUCAUCGAAUCUUUGAACGCACAUUGCGCCCGCUAGUAUUCUGGCGGGCAUGCCUGUCUGAGCGUCAUUUCAACCCUCAUGCCCCUAGGGCGUGGUGUUGGGGAUCGGCCAAAGCCCGCGAGGGACGGCCGGCCCCUAAAUCUAGUGGCGGACCCGUUGUGGCCUCCUCUGCGAAGUAGUAAUAUUCCGCAUUAGAGAGCAGCGAGCCCCUGCCGUUAAACCCCCCAAUUUAUCAAGGUUGACCUCAGAUCAGGUAGGAAUACCCGCUGA